GUGAGUCAGGAGGGAAACUGAGGUCGUCAGGGUGCAGGAGGGGGGUGAGGGGGGAGGGUCCUUUUACGAGCACAAGUCUCUGCACAGUCUUGCUUACCUCCACUCCGGCUGCCUGGCAGAUAAAUGACGAAAUAUACGGUAAGCGGUCUAAUAUAUGUUCGCCUGUCUCCCAGAGUAAUACAACAGCCCUGCUCUGCCUCCUUAAUGUGUGGUCCCUGUCAACCCAAGAAACAGCAGAGAGUAGGAGGAGGAGAAGGAAAAACUCACAGCUGCAGCCAGCACGAGACCUAUGGGACUCUAGUCUGAGCACUGCAGGGUACGCAGGACAGCUAAACAUAUGACAGGAAGUGAACUUUGUUAGUACCUGACUAACAAAGCAAACACGGUGGCCGUGUGAGACCCGCACUCAGAGAGGAGAAUCAGAGAGUCGUCAUCAGAUGAUUAGUGGAAACCAUCGCAGACUAUUAUUCUGACUGGAAUCAUCUAAUGUUCUGCUUCAGGAAUACAUUCCAGUGGAAGUGGACCUCAGAAAUCAGAGGUUAGCUCUGCUUUAAACAAUGCCAGUGGUAAUGACUGAUCUAAUCACAGGGCACGCUCCAGGAACCCACCUGUUUUGUCGGCUCUGCUCUCACACAUUAAACUUGGCGCUGCCAGGAUCUCACAGUCUGGGAGGGUGGCACAUGUUGGGGUGGCUGUAAUGUGUUACACACAGCCCCAUAUAGUCUCAGCCCUCUGGGUCUGAUUCUGUUCUUUUAUCCAAUGCCAAGAAAAGUUGAACUUGGCUUGGACAAAUCUGCUCAAUGGAGUGCUGCACCUGAAAGCUUUUACCGGGGCUAAGAGGGUCCAGAUAAGACACAACUUUCUCUUUAUCUCCAAGUCUCCACGGCUGGCCUUUUUUUUUUCAGUGACUCCAGUUUACAGUAAACUUGUCCUGCAGAUCAGGCAGCCAGCCAGCAGAUGUGACAGGACUGCAGGGCUAACACAGGAUGUCACUAGUGAAGGGUUGAACCAGCUAUGAGUCCAGCUGACAAAAAAACACAGGCCACAAUAAUACUGAAUCAUUCUCAGGACUUCAAGUGUUCCAAGUGUUGGGCCGUUCUUCAGUUAAUACUGAGGAACAUUUUAUUCUGAAGCCCAUCAGAUAUUAAUCCCACAUUUCCUCAAAUAAUCAAGCCAAAGUUUUUCAAGGUGCAAUGGUUUCCUCCCAGUCUAAAACACACAUCAGAGGUUGUGUUAUCCGGAUACUCUUAAACGAAUAAUGGUCCUAUGAUUGACUGGUGACCUUUAGAGAAUGUACUCUGCCAUAAUAAGCUAGGGCAAUGUUGUUCAACCUUGGGGUCGCUAGCCCGUUUUAAAAUCAACAUUUGUAUUUGUGUCCUGUUGGAUCCAGUUAAUAUAUGACUUUGUCUGAAGGACCUGGAGAGAAUAAAACUACAGUGGAACUGGCCACAUAAGGUCAAUGGCCUUGGUUAGAGUUUAACCCAGGUCGACACACGCAAAAUUAUUAAGUUUGAUAUGAAGAUUAACAGAACUGGGAAAGACGAUUUCUUCAGAGCAGUUCGUUCGGUGUGGAGCCAAGCUAGUCUUCACCAACAGCAAAACAAAACAUAAAAAAAAAAAAACACACCAAAUAUGUAGUGAAUGAUGCACCAACAUAGUGGAUUACGGAAUUCCAGAAACAGAACCAAGACAAAGACCUGGUGCGUGGUCUCCUUCUCCACAGACUGUGGACCGUCAAGUCCGUUUUCUGUUCUCUCUUCUCAUUUCUCAGACACAUCUUUGACUUUAUCUGCCAGUCCACGCUGACCUCAGAAACCAUGUUGUUUUAUAUCACAUUCUUGAUUACAUCUGUCUGUCUUCCAAAGGCAUUCUAAAUAUAGUCCUCCUCUUAACCCCCCCAGAAGAGCAGAACACUAAGUCCCUACUAAUUAGAGCCUUCUCCUCAGUCUGGGGUUGCCUCCAGUGAGAGCAGGUUUAUGGGCUGUACUGCUCAGUCUGUUUUGUUGUUGCUCAUACGUCUGAACAUUUACCAAUGGCCCUGGGUAGUGAGACGCACAAAUGUCUCUGGUCCAAAGUGCCACAGGUUUAAUUAUUAUUAUUAUUAUUAUUACUACUAUUAUUAUGUCUCUCUGUCUCUAUAGUGAUAAACGCGACCUUGAAGGUUUUUUUUAUUUCACAUGUGAAUUGGUUGAAUUACACCGGUAUCACUUUGACAGUCACACCCGUGCUCUAGUCUUAAACUGAUCCAUGAGUGGCUGGAGAACACUGCAUGAAUAAUUUACAGUCAUCUUCUCAGUGUCAGUCCUGUAGCCUUCGUCACUCAGGACACUGGUGUGGACUCAGGACAAGACAGAGCCUUUGGUACUGCAGGAAAACCUGAAGAUGAACCCCAGUUUUUGUGCUCUCCUCUGUUGGCUGGUUCUCCCUCUCAAAGGUCUGCUGAUACCUGAGUCUGAGGAGGUGGAAUAUGUCCGCUCCCAUGUUACAGCAACAGCAGGAAGCUCGGUCACCUUCGACUGCGGCCCCAUCAUGCCUCACACCUUCAUCUGGGGAUUCACCAAACCACUGACUGAUAAUAUUGUAGCUUUGGCCUAUAACUAUGGACACGGUGUAAAGCUCCAAGUGCAGUCCAACAAUGUGGGUAACAUCCAGGUUCCUGUCAGCACCUCUAAGUUAGUCAUUGAGAAUCUUCAGAAAAGCGCAGUGGGCACGUACACCUGUCAGGCGAUGUACGACACCGACGACGGCCCCAAAGUCAUUUUCUAUUACACACGUUUGGAUGUGGAGGAGACUGAGGACUGACAUAUGAGGCAUCAAAUACAAACACAUUAGGUCUGUAAGUGAUGCCACAGAAACAUCAAACUCUUAGCUGCCCUCUGUUCGUAUUUUCUUU